rnacentral:rRNA from 1 species
UCCUUUGACGUUAGCGGCGGACGGGUGAGUAACACGUGGGUAACCUACCUAUAAGACUGGGAUAACUUCGGGAAACCGGAGCUAAUACCGGAUAAUAUUUCGAACCGCAUGGUUCGAUAGUGAAAGGUGGUUUUGCUAUCACUUAUAGAUGGACCCGCGCCGUAUUAGCUAGUUGGUAAGGUAACGGCUUACCAAGGCGACGAUACGUAGCCGACCUGAGAGGGUGAUCGGCCACACUGGAACUGAGACACGGUCCAGACUCCUACGGGAGGCAGCAGGC